UACGAAGGGGGCUAGCGUUGCUCGGAAUUACUGGGCGUAAAGGGCGCGUAGGCGGACAGUUUAGUCAGAGGUGAAAGCCCAGGGCUCAACCUUGGAACUGCCUUUGAUACUGACUGUCUUGAGUUCGGGAGAGGUGAGUGGAAUGCCGAGUGUAGAGGUGAAAUUCGUAGAUAUUCGGCGGAACACCAGUGGCGAAGGCGACUCACUGGCCCGAUACUGACGCUGAGGCACGAAAGCGUGGGGAGCAAACAGG
rnacentral:rRNA from 1 species